UUUUUAAUUAACGAUUGGAAUAAACAAUUGGAAUAAACAAUUUCGAAAUAUAAAUGAUCAAUCAAAAGAUUCU
rnacentral:tRNA from 1 species